GCCUAGUUAGCUUAGUUGGUAGUGCGUCUGCCUUGUAAGCGCUAGGCCGCGGGUUCGAUUCCCUCCCGGGGCG
rfam:Asian citrus Psyllid, Diaphorina citri - Florida Strain, whole genome shotgun sequence.